GAUGAACGCUGGCGGCGUGCCUAAUACAUGCAAGUCGAGCGAACAGACGAGGAGCUUGCUCCUCUGACGUUAGCGGCGGACGGGUGAGUAACACGUGGAUAACCUACCUAUAAGACUGGGAUAACUUCGGGAAACCGGAGCUAAUACCGGAUAAUAUAUUGAACCGCAUGGUUCAAUAGUGAAAGACGGUUUUGCUGUCACUUAUAGAUGGAUCCGCGCCGCAUUAGCUAGUUGGUAAGGUAACGGCUUACCAAGGCAACGAUGCGUAGCCGACCUGAGAGGGUGAUCGGCCACACUGGAACUGAGACACGGUCCAGACUCCUACGGGGGGCAGCAGUAGGGAAUCUUCCGCAAUGGGCGAAAGCCUGACGGAGCAACGCCGCGUGAGUGAUGAAGGUCGUCGGAUCGUAAAACUCUGUUAUUAGGGAAGAACAAAUGUGUAAGUAACUAUGCACGUCUUGACGGUACCUAAUCAGAAAGCCACGGCUAACUACGUG
rnacentral:rRNA from 1 species